CCUACGGGUGGCUGCAGUGGGGAAUAUUGGACAAUGGGGGGAACCCUGAUCCAGCCAUGCCGCGUGUGUGAAGAAGGCCCUCGGGUUGUAAAGCACUUUCAGUGAGGAAGAACGCCUGGUGGUUAAUACCCAUCAGGAAAGACAUCACUCACAGAAGAAGCACCGGCUAACUCCGUGCCAGCAGCCGCGGUAAUACGGAGGGUGCGAGCGUUAAUCGGAAUUACUGGGCGUAAAGCGCGCGUAGGUGGCUUGAUAAGCCGGGUGUGAAAGCCCCGGGCUCAACCUGGGAACGGCAUCCGGAACUGUCAAGCUAGAGUGCAGGAGAGGAAGGUAGAAUUCCCGGUGUAGCGGUGAAAUGCGUAGAGAUCGGGAGGAAUACCAGUGGCGAAGGCGGCCUUCUGGACUGACACUGACACUGAGGUGCGAAAGCGUGGGUAGCAAACAGGAUUAGAUACCCUAGUAGUC
rnacentral:rRNA from 1 species